rnacentral:rRNA from 1 species
AGUCUGCAACCCGACUCCAUGAAGCUGGAUUCGCUAGUAAUCGCGCAUCAGCCACGGCGCGGUGAAUACGUUCCCGGGCCUUGUACACACCGCCCGUCACACCAUGAGAGUUGAGAAUACCCGAAGCCCAUGUCAAAGUGGUCGAAGGUAGGCUUGAUGAUUGGGGUGAAGUCGUAACAAGGUAAC